AGCUCCAAUAGCGUAUAUUAAAGUUGUUGUGGUUAAAAAGCUCGUAGUUGGAUCUCGGCGGACAGAAGGCAGGCGGGUGCUCUUCGCCGAGUGUCCGUCUGUGCUGGCAGGUUUACUUUGAAAAAAUUAGAGUGCUCAAAGCAAGCUCUUACGCUUGAAUAUUCGUGCAUGGAAUAAUAGAAUAGGAUGUCGUUUCUAUUUUGUUGGUUUUCGGAAAUCGACAUAAUGAUUAAUAGGGACAGUCGGGGGCAUUUGUAUUCAAACGACAGAGGUGAAAUUCUUGGACCGUUUGAAGACAAACUACUGCGAAAGCAUUUGCCAAGAAUGUUUUCA
rnacentral:rRNA from 1 species